rnacentral:lncRNA from 1 species
UUCACUCUUGAAGCCAGCGAGACCAUGAACUCACCGGGAGGGACGAACAACUCCAGACGCGCUGCCUUAAGAGCGGUAACACUUACCGCGAAGGUUCACGGGUUCACUUCUGAGCCAGUGAGACCACGAACCCACCAGAAGAAAGAAACUCCGAAGACAUCCGAACAUCAGAAGGAACAAACUCUAGACGCGUCACCUUAAGAGCUGUAACACUGACCGCAAGGCUCCGCGGCUUCAUUCUAGAACUGCUGCAAAAAGUCAAUCCUGGAGCUCAUUUGCUCUUCACUUGACAUAAGUGCUUCCUUUGGUAUUAAUUUUUUUUUUUUUUGCACCAGUGAAGGUUCUUACUUGAAACUGAUUUAACAUAUUAAGGAAAGGGAUCAAUUGAAAGAAUGUUGGGUAGCUCACAGAUGACUGGGAAGUCUGCUUUGGAUGCCUGCUGGAACAAUGGAGGUUGAGAAACAGCUAGGACCCCAGCUGAAAUCAUGCCUGUCUGGUGGAGCAUUAACAUGCUUCCAGAAGUCAAAACUAUAUAAAGGAUAUACUCCGAGAAGUAUUCCUCCCUUCUGUACCCACUCCAUCUUGUUCCUCCUAGCCAGCUCUUGAAGAGUCGGAAAUUCACUCUAAACAGGAGAAGCAGCAAUGAGAACUUCAAGAAGAGAUAUAAGCUCAUCCAAGAUCAACUGCAGAGGAGGACGAGGGAAAUUUUAUAUGGGAACAAUUAUCUGAAAAAUAGUCAUUCAUCGAUUCAAGCUCUGACAUCUUUCGGUUCUGCCAUUCCCCCAGAGAAUGUCCUCAUUUGUAUGGUCAAGGCUGGGUUGCAGAGAAGUCCAUGUUGCAGCUCAUGGAAAAAAAGAACCAAAGGGACUCAAGAACACUGGCUUAUGUCUUAGAUUGGAGAUGACCUGGAAAGUCAACUUUCACCCAUAACCCAUUGGCCUAAAGUAAGUCCCAGAGUCAACUUGAAUUGCAAGGGAUCCGGAGUAAUGCUGUUUAUACCUGGAGUGCUGGGGACCCAGCUUAAACUCUACCACCAUAGAAGACAGGGAAGAUAGAUUUUGAUGGAUGACCAGAAGUUUCUGUUACAUGUACAACAGAUUAAAAAUAUAUAUAUUGCCAGCUGGGUGUGGUGGCUCAUGCCUGUAAUCCCAGAACUUUGGGAGUCCAA